rnacentral:rRNA from 1 species
AUAGCUCACUAGUCGAGUGACCCUGCGCCGAAAAUGUACCGGGGCUAAAUAGUUUACCGAAGCUGUGGAACACACCAAUGGUGUGUUGGUAGGAGAGCGUUCUAAGGGCGUUGAAGGUAGAUCGUGAGGACUGCUGGAGCGCUUAGAAGUGAGAAUGCCGGUAUGAGUAGCGAAAGACAGGUGAGAAUCCUGUCCACCGAAUGACUAAGG